rnacentral:rRNA from 1 species
ACGAACGCUGGCGGCGUGCUUAACACAUGCAAGUCGAACGGAAGGGCCCCUUUGGGGGUACUCGAGUGGCGAACGGGUGAGUAACACGUGAGUAACCUGCCCUUGACUUCGGGAUAACUUCAGGAAACUGGGGCUAAUACCGGAUAGGAAUCCUUGCUGCAUGGUGGGGGUUGGAAAGCUUCGGCGGUUUUGGAUGGACUCGCGGCUUAUCAGCUUGUUGGUGGGGUAGUGGCUUACCAAGGCUUUGACGGGUAGCCGGCCUGAGAGGGCGACCGGCCACAUUGGGACUGAGAUACGGCCCAGACUCCUACGGGAGGCAGCAGUGGGGAAUAUUGCACAAUGGGCGGAAGCCUGAUGCAGCAACGCCGCGUGCGGGAUGACGGCCUUCGGGUUGUAAACCGCUUUCAGCAGGGGCGAAGCUUGUGGUGACGGUACCUGCAGAAGAAGCACCGGCUAACUACGUG